CUGGCUCAGAUUGAACGCUGGCGGCAUUGCCUAACACAUGCAAGUCGAACGGCAGCACAGCAGUAGCAAUACUGUGGGUGGCGAGUGGCGGACGGGUGAGGAAUACGUCGGAAUCUGCCCAGUCGUGGGGGAUAACUAGCCGAAAGGUUAGCUAAUACCGCAUACGACCGAGAGGUGAAAGCGGGGACCGCAAGGCCUCGCGCGAUUGGAUGAGCCGACGUCGGAUUAGCUAGUUGGCGGGGUAAAGGCCCACCAAGGCGACGAUCCGUAGCUGGUCUGAGAGGAUGAUCAGCCACACUGGAACUGAGACACGGUCCAGACUCCUACGGGAGGCAGCAGUGGGGGAAUAUUGGACAAUGGGCGGCAAGCCUGAUCCAGCAAUGCCGCGUGUGUGAAGAAGG
rnacentral:rRNA from 1 species